UGGGUUUGUCCUAAGUCAAAUCUCUUCAAGUUUGACCAAUUUUAUAGAAAAAUAUAACAAAAAAUUUCCAACAUAAUAAAUAUACUAUAAAAAUCUAUCCAAUGAUGGAUUUAAUAAAACUAAUUUGGUAUCGUAGAUGCUGGUAUAUUUUUCUAUAAACUUGGUCAAACUUGAAAAGGUUUGACUUCGGACAAACCCAA
rnacentral:pre_miRNA from 1 species